rnacentral:rRNA from 1 species
AACGAACGCUGGCGGCAUGCCUAACACAUGCAAGUCGAACGGGAUCCAGGCUUCGGCCUGGUGAGAGUGGCGGACGGGUGAGUAACGCGUGGGAACCUGCCCAAUGGUCUGGGAUAACCGCGGGAAACUGCGGCUAAUACCGGAUAAGCCCGAGAGGGGAAAGAUUUAUCGCCGAUGGAGGGGCCCGCGUCCGAUUAGGUAGUUGGUGAGGUAAUGGCUCACCAAGCCGACGAUCGGUAGCUGGUCUGAGAGGGUGAUCAGCCACACUGGGACUGAGAUACGGCCCAGACUCCUACGGGAGGCAGCAGUGGGGAAUAUUGGACAAUGGGGGCAACCCUGAUCCAGCAAUGCCGCGUGAGUGAUGAAGGCCUUAGGGUUGUAAAGCUCUUUUGGCGGGACGAUGAUGACGGUACCCGCAGAAUAAGCCCCGGCUAACUUCGUGCCAGCAGCCGCGGUAAUACGAAGGGGGUCGAGCGUUGUUCGGAAUUAC